rnacentral:rRNA from 1 species
CCGGGCGACCGGCGCACGGGUGAGUAACACGUAUGCAACCUGGCCGUGACAGAUGGAUAACCGGGAGAAAUCCCGCCUAAUACAACAUAAUGCCGGGAGGGGACAUCCCCUGCCGGCCAAAGGGGGCGACCCCGGUCACGGAUGGGCAUGCGGCGCAUUAGGUAGUUGGUGGGGCAACGGCCCACCAAGCCGACGAUGCGUAGGGGUUCUGAGAGGAAGGUCCCCCACAUUGGAACUGAGACACGGUCCAAACUCCUACGGAAGGCAGCAG